ensembl:snRNA U6 U6 spliceosomal RNA
GUGCUCGCUUUGGCAGAACAUAUACUAAAAUUGGAAUGAUAAAGAGAAGAUUAGCAUGGCCCCUGUGUAAGGAUGACAUGCAAAUUUGUGAAGCGUUCCAUAUUUUA